rnacentral:rRNA from 1 species
AAAUUUUUAUUAAUUUUUAUAGGGUUAUUAAUUUUAAUAAAAGUUUUUUUGUUUUAUUAUUUUUUUGAACAAUUUGUUUUAAUGAUAGUUUAUUUGUACUGUGAGGGGUUGAUUAAAUUGAUUAUAAGAAAAAUUUAUUUUUUGUACCUUGUGCAUCAGGGUUAAUUAAAAUUUAUUUUAUUUAAAAUUUUCUCGAAUUUAAAAUAGCUAAGUUAUAAUUUAUUUUAUUGUUUCAAAAAUAUUUAAAAUUAUAAUUUUGAAGUUAAAUGCUAUACAUUUUUAAAUAUAUCUAGUUUUUUUAGAAACAAAUUUAAUUUGGUUUAUUUUAAUACAUAAAUUUUUAUUUUUUAUUAUUACUAUGAUUUAAUUGGUUUUGGGAUUAGCUAGAACUAAGAUUUCCAAUAUUUUUAAAAUUUUCUUGAUAAAUAGGAUUAGAAAUUUUCAUUUUUUUAAUUAUGUUAUAAUUUUUCUAGAAUUAUUAUUAUUUAUUUAAAUAUGGGGUUUUUAUUAAAAUUUUUAUUUUAAUUUUUAUUUUAAAUUAAUAAUGAUUAAAUUAGUAAAAUUUUUUUUAUGAUUAUAAAUUUUAAAAAUAUAAUUUUUAGGAAUUCGGCAAUUAGUUUUUCACCUGUUUAAUAAAAACAUGUCUUCUUGAUUAUAAUUUGAAGUCUAACCUGCUCUAUGAUUUUUAAAUGGCCGCAGUAUUUUGACUGUGCUAAGGUAGCAUAAUAAUUAGUUUCUUAAUUAGAAGCUUGUAUGAAUGGUUUGAUGAAAAAACAACUUUCUUAUUUUUAUGAAUUUUGAAUUUUAUUUUUAAGUUAAAAAGCUUAAAUUUUUUUAAGGGACGAGAAGACCCUUUAGAAUUUAACUUAAUUUUAGGUUAACUUUUUUUAGUAUUAAUUUUUUAAUUUGAAAUUAAGUUUAGUUGGGGUGACUGAAAAAUUAAAUUAACUUUUAUUACAAAUAAACAUUUUUAUUGGUUUAAUGAUCCGUUGUAGCGAUUACAAGAAAAAAUUACCUAAGGGAUAACAGCGUUAUAAUUUUUGAGAGUUCUUAUCGAAAAAAUUGAUUGCGACCUCGAUGUUGGAUUAGAAUUUCUUGUAGGUGCAGAAGCUUACAAAGAUGGUCUGUUCGACCAUUAAAAUUCUACAUGAUCUGAGUUUAGACCGGCGUGAGCCAGGUUGGUUUCUAUCUUUAAAAAUUUUUAGUAUUUUAGUACGAAAGGAUUAAAUA